rnacentral:rRNA from 1 species
GAUGAACGCUAGCGGCAGGCCUAAUACAUGCAAGACGAACGGUAAGUUGAGUAGCAAUACUUAGCCAAGAGUGUCGUACGGGUGCGUAACACGUAUGCAACCUACCCUAUACAGGAGGAUAGCCUAGGGAAACCUGGAUUAACCCUUCAUAGUAUUAUUGGAUGGCAUCAUUUGAUAAUUAAAACUGAGGUGGUAUAGGAUGGGCAUGCGUCUGAUUAGUUAGUUGGCGGGGUAAUGGCCCACCAAGACGAUGAUCAGUAGGGGUUCUGAGAGGAAGAACCCCCCACACUGGCACUGAGAUACGGGCCAGACUCCUACGGGAGGCAGCAGUAGGGAAUAUUGGUCAAUGGAUGCAAGUCUGAACCAGCCAUGCCGCGUGCAGGAGAAGGCCUCUGGUUGUAAACUGCUUUUGCCAGGGGAUAAAUUUCCAUGCGUGGAAACUGAAGGUACCUGGUGAAUAGCACGGCUAACUACGUGCCCAGCAGCCGCGGUAAU